rnacentral:lncRNA from 1 species
CUGUUGUCUAUUCCAUUUGCACAACAGCAUGUGAAAUUUAUUGUCAAUCAGUGUUGCUUCCUAAGUGGACAGUUUGAUUUCACAGAAGUGUGAUUGACUUGGAGUUACAUUGUGUUGUUUAAGUGUUCCCUUUAUUUUUUUGAGCAGUGUAUAAUAUGAAUGUGUAGAUGCAUGGUGACUCCCCGUUUGGAUGAACGGACUAACGGGUCUGCCAUGGGCAAGUCCCUUGACGGGUACCAGGAAUGGUGGAAGGACAAUCUGAAGGUAAUUAUCUUUGCACACAAGUGCUGUCUAGGCCUCCAGAGUAUUCACUCUAUCGUCUGCUAUAUGGAGGGGAGCCGCAGCAGUUAACUGACGUAAACAAUGCAAUUGUAUAUAACAUUAUUGCACAUACUGUAGUAUAAUUUUUUUUUGAUUGACUUUGUGUUUUUCUUUUUCUGUUUUGUAUAACGUACUUUGAGGUCACUGAUACUCCACCUGAUGUGGUGGAAGUUGUCGAACCAGAUCAGAACGCCUUCGAAAGUCUGCCUUCAGACACGGACUGAGAAGGAUGUGGAGGUUUUUGACCAGGUGAGACUGAACAUGGACAGGGCGCAUGAGAAAAAGGAGAGCCACUGCAGAAUAAGCAAGGGGACCAAAUGCUUCGACAUCUGGGCGAAUGGCUUGGCAGAAGGACGAAAGGAAGUACCAACACUGGCCCAGGGGUUUUUCCAGACAGUCAAUCUGAAGGCUAACCACUGGGUCACGGUAAGUAACCUCCGCUGCCAGGUAGGUACUGUUAAGGUGUAUGACUCCAGUGGUCAUGACACCACCCCAGAGUUUCUCUCACAACUCUUCUCUCUAUCUUUUCCAGGGACCAUCCCUUACCAACCCCAGUGACAUCAAAAAUUAGACAGUUCUCCAGGACCUAGGGGUUCUGCCUGACACCCAGACAUGAUAUCCUCCAUUACCUACCACCCUCCAACUUUUCACUACAUCAUCUACUGUUAUUGUCAAGUUGUCAUUAUCUGCUAAGAAAGAGCAAGAAAACUAUCAUACUGGGCACAUAAUGUGAGCUGCACAGAUUAGCUAAAAACACUAGCACUGCAAACACUCAGAACAAAGAGGGC